AAUGAAUCCAGUGCCUCAGUUAUAUCCCGGGGAGCCUAGCAGAAAAGUGCAUCAGGAAGAAACUCUUCAGAUUCACACCAAGGAGUGGCAAGAAUGCUUGGUCUUCAAGAAAUUGUCAUCAGUUAUAGGAAGAACUUCCAGAAACAACGGCUGAAGGCAAUGGCAACCACGAAGCAGCUGAAGGAUUCUCUCUACUGGUUUUAUUAUCAAUUCAUGCUUAUUUCCUGUUGUGUUGAUAUGGAGCCCUGGGAACAAAUACUUGCACAUAUUUUUAUAGCGUCUCUAGCUACCAUGUUAAUGUUUACGGCUUAUAUGUUCAUCCUGAAUAAUCUAUGCUCGGCUUUUCAGUUCUUUUUGCAUUUAUGAGUUGAGGAGCCAAAGAAGUCAUGACUGAGAUAGUUGUUAUGACCCUGGGUAUAUAUAUUUAUGACUUAUUUUGUGUCUCUUUAUGUCAGUGGUUCCCAACCUUUAGUCCUCCAGGUGUUUUGGACUUCAGCUCCCACAAUUCCU